GGGCUCACCUUGGCAGCACAUAUACUAAAAUUGAAACAAUACUGAGAUUAGCAUGGCCCCUGUAGAAGGAUGACACACAAAUUCGUGAAGUGGUCCAUAUUUGU